GUCUACAGCCAUGCUACCCUGAACAAACCCAAUACCUUCUGAUCUCGGAAGCUAAGCAGGGUUGGGCCUGGUUAGUACUUGGAUGGGAGACCACCUAGGAAGACCAGGUGCUAUAAGCA
rnacentral:rRNA from 1 species